ensembl:lncRNA
UGCCAUUAAAGAAAAUAUAAAGAACACAGGACGGGAUGUCUACAAUGCAGGGGGUGCCAUAUAAACAGAAAGAAGAAAAUAUAGAAAAAAACAAGUAAACAAGGGUUGAGGUUGAAAGACAAAACGUAAAGAAAGAUAGAAAAAGGGAGAAUCACGUAAAAGCUGAGAAACAGAAAAAAUUAGAAAAAGAAAUCUCAAGAGAAACAAAAGGGGCGGAGACAGCCCAGUAUAAAAGGCCCCGAGUGGCAACAUAGAGAACAGAAAGACGUUGGGCCAGCCUGAAGAAGGCUGCACCCAGCCGAAACGUCGCGAUGGCCCAACGGCAGUGCACUACACCCGCUAAGGGUAAUUUUUUGAACAGGGGGCACCGUUCCCAGUCCCAUUGAUGGACCGUGCAUUCAGGUUCCGGCAAUAGCCGGGCCUGGUCUUUACCCAACACCUAACCAGCCUGUGCCUCAUGGGAUUGGUGGUGCCCCUGCCUAAUAACUCCCUAAGAAUGGGAAUCCCCCCACCCACUAACUUUCCCUAACCCUAACCCCUUUGACCCCCCUCCCCCCCUCCCCCCUCUUAUCCCUCACCUAAGGGAACAAUAUCAAACCUAAGAAAAGGAAGAAGAAGGUCACGUAAAAGACACAAAGAAAGAUAAGACAAACAAAGAGGGAAAAAGGACACAAACAAAGAAAAGAGAAACUAAGAAAGUCACGUAAAGGACACAAAGAAAGAUAAGAAAACUCAAGAAAGAGCAUAAGGAAGUCACGUAAAAGACACAAGAUAAUAAUAAGAAAGUCACGUUAAAGACACAAAGAAAGAUAAGAUAAACAAAGAAGGAAUAAGUGACACAAACAGAAAAAAUGGAAAGGAUAUAAAGGAAGGGGGUGCCAUUAAAGAAAAUAUAAAGAACACAGGACGGGAUGUCUACAAUGCAGGGGGUGCCAUAUAAACAGAAAGAAGAAAAUAUAGAAAAAAACAAGUAAACAAGGGUUGAGGUUGAAAGACAAAACGUAAAGAAAGAUAGAAAAAGGGAGAAUCACGUAAAAGCUGAGAAACAGAAAAAAUUAGAAAAAGAAAUCUCAAGAGAAACAAAAGGGGCGGAGACAGCCCAGUAUAAAAGGCCCCGAGUGGCAACAUAGAGAACAGAAAGACGUUGGGCCAGCCUGAAGAAGGCUGCACCCAGCCGAAACGUCGCGAUGGCCCAACGGCAGUGCACUACACCCGCUAAGGGUAAUUUUUUGAACAGGGGGCACCGUUCCCAGUCCCAUUGAUGGACCGUGCAUUCAGGUUCCGGCAAUAGCCGGGCCUGGUCUUUACCCAACACCUAACCCCCCCUAACCCUAUCCAGCCAGUGCCUCGUGGGGUUGGGGGUGCCCCUGCCCUCUAUCUUACCCUAACCCUAACCAUAGGGGGGUCCCUAACACAAAAAACGAAGACAAGAAGUCACGUACAGAAAAACAAGUAGAAAAAGAAAAAGACAAGAAGUCACGUACAGAAAAACAAGUAGAAAAAGAAAAAGACAAGAAGUCACGUACAGAAAAACAAGUAGAAAAAGAGAAAGACAAGAAGUCACGUAUAAGAAAGAAAGAUAAGCAGAAAAAGCAAAAGACAAGAAGUCACGUACAAAAGAAAAAGACAAGUAGUCAGAAAAAGAAAAAGACAAGAAGUCACGUACAAGAAAGAAAGAUAAGCAGAAACAGAAAAAGACAAGAAGUCACGUAAGAUAAAACAAAGAGAAUAAUGUAAAUAACCACACGGAAAGGAUUUAAAGGAAGGUGGUGCCAUAAACAAAAGUACAGUGAACAAAGGACGGGGAUGUCAAAAAAGACAGGGGGUGCCAUAAAAAGAUAAAGAGAAACAAAGAAAGAACAAAAAGAAAAAAAUAGUAAGAAAACUAAAGAUAUGAAAAGACAAGAAGUCACGUAAAAUAGAAAGAAAGCAGAAAAAGAAAAAGACAAGAAGUCAGAAAAAGAAAAAGACAAGAAGUCACGUACAAGAAAGAAAGCUAAGCAGAAAAAGAAAAAGACAAGAAGUCAACUUAAAAAAGCCCAAGUGGGAGGAGCUAACAAAAGUAUAAAAGGCCAAGAGAGGCAGUCAGAAAACAGAGAGAAGACACACUGGGUCGGCCUGAAGAAGGCAAAAACAUGCCGAAACGUCGCGAACGGCCCAGUGAAUGCUAAUUGUGCACUAAAACCCUAGAUAAGGGCAAUUUUUUGAACCAGGCAGGGACACCACCACCCGGCCCCAUCGAUGGCCCGUGCACCUCAGGCUACCAGCUUGCUGGUGGCCUGAUUCUUUUCUAA